AGUGAACGCUGGCGGUAGGCCUAACACAUGCAAGUCGAACGGCAGCACAGUAAGAGCUUGCUCUUACGGGUGGCGAGUGGCGGACGGGUGAGGAAUACAUCGGAAUCUACUUUUUCGUGGGGGAUAACGUAGGGAAACUUACGCUAAUACCGCAUACGACCUACGGGUGAAAGCAGGGGAUCUUCGGACCUUGCGCGAUUGAAUGAGCCGAUGUCGGAUUAGCUAGUUGGCGGGGUAAAGGCCCACCAAGGCGACGAUCCGUAGCUGGUCUGAGAGGAUGGUCAGCCACACUGGAACUUGAACACGGUCCAGACUCCUAAGGUAGGGCGCAGUGGGGAAUAUUGGACAAUGGGGGCAAGCCUGAUCCAACCAUACCGCGUGGGUUAAGAAGGCCUUCGGGUUGUAAAGCCCUUUUGUUGGGAAAGAAAAGCAGCAGGUUAAUACCCCGCUGUUCUGACGGUACCCAAAGAAUAAGCACCGGCUAACUUCGUG
rnacentral:rRNA from 1 species